AGAGUAUUAAACCGUUCAACGAAUUAAAACUUUCCUUUCAAGUAUAUGACAGAUGCACACGAAGUGUCCUAGAGACUAUGAUGCAAUUAUAUAAGGUGGUCUCGUAUUCCCAAAGGAAAUCACGGACUGGGAAACAAUUUUCCCCGAAACAUUCAAUUGUGCAUUGAGAGGGAAAAAAUAUGUUAAUACUUUAAAGACAUGUAAAAUUUAAAAAAUAGUCUGGCCAUAUGACAGAAAGGAGAACGGAGAAGAAGCAGCUGAUUUGGAUAUGGAUAUGUAAAACGCUGACAUGGAACUGGUUCUACGGACCCGGAUGAAAAAGGAGCCUUACAAUCGUGCCCGCACUUACUGUUGAUUCUCUUCCUUGCUGCAGAAACAGUUUUAUUGCGUUGGUAGUGCCAUUCUACUGCUCCGCCUUCACUUUCAUCAUCUGCAUGAAGGCGUGAUGCAUCUUGGCCCAACGCUGAAUGCAGUUGAGGUAAAAGAAGCAAUAGCAGCAAGGCUCUCUCUCUAGCUUAAUAACCCCUCAUCCACAAUUUUGAAGAUUCGAGAAAAUGGAGUAUCGUAGAUAAUGGCCAUAUCUAUCAGAUUGACGAAUCUUGUACAGAUCGGAACAUUAUUAUAGCCAGAAUUAAUAAUUUUCAGUGGCUUACCCUGCCCCUCUCAGAACAGCAGUCGCUACUUAUUCUCUUCCUCGCUCGCACACACUCUGCCCUGUGCAGUGGCGCAGGCGGAGGAAAUGUAGAAUUUACAUGUAGACAGAUGUAGCAAAAUAAUUAAAAAUAUAAAA